rnacentral:rRNA from 1 species
GACGAACGCUGGCGGCGUGCUUAACACAUGCCAGUCGAACGGAAAGGCCCUGCUUUUGUGGGGUGCUCGAGUGGCGAACGGGUGAGUAACACGUGAGUAACCUGCCCUUGACUUUGGGAUAACUUCAGGAAACUGGGGCUAAUACCGGAUAGGAGCUCCUGCUGCAUGGUGGGGGUUGGAAAGUUUCGGCGGUUGGGGAUGGACUCGCGGCUUAUCAGCUUGUUGGUGGGGUAGUGGCUUACCAAGGCUUUGACGGGUAGCCGGCCUGAGAGGGUGACCGGCCACAUUGGGACUGAGAUACGGCCCAGACUCCUACGGGAGGCAGCAGUGGGGAAUAUUGCACAAUGGGCGGAAGCCUGAUGCAGCAACGCCGCGUGCGGGAUGACGGCCUUCGGGUUGUAAACCGCUUUCGCCUGUGACGAAGCGUGAGUGACGGUAAUGGGUAAAGAAGCACCGGCUAGCUACGUG